UACGGGGGGGGCAAGCGUUGUUCGGAAUUACUGGGCGUAAAGGGCUCGUAGGCGGCCAACUAAGUCCGACGUGAAAUCCCCAGGCUUAACCUGGGAACUGCGUCGGAUACUGGAUGGCUUGAAUUCGGGAGAGGGAUGCAGAAUUCCAGGUGUAGCGGUGAAAUGCGCAGAUAUCAGGAGGAACACCAAUGGCGAAGGCAGCUCGCUGGGACGGUACUGACGCUGAGACGCGAAAGCGUGGGGAGCAAACAGG
rnacentral:rRNA from 1 species